AACUGGUGAGGGGUCUGGAGCACAAGUCUUAUGAAGAGUGGCUGAGGGAGCUGGGAUUGUUCAGCCUGGAGAAGAGGAGGCUCAGGGGAGACCUCACUGCACUGUACAACUUCCUGAAGGGAGGUUGUGGUGCAAAAGGGUCUGGCCUCUUCUCCUAGGCAAAUAGUAGGACCUGAGGAAACGGCCAGAAGUUAUACCAGAGGAGGUUUAGGUUGGAUAUUAGGAGAAACUUUUUCUCUCAAAGGGUGGUCAGGCACUGGAAUGGCUGCCCAGGGAGGUGGUGGAGUUGCCAUCCCUGGUAGUGUUCAAGAGGCGCCUGGAUGAGGAGCUACGAGAUGUGGUUUAGUGCUUGUGGUACUAUAGGAAUGGGAAGGUGGUUGGACUAGAUGAUCUUGCAGGUCGUUUCCAACCUUGUGAUUCUGUGAUUCUGUGAUUCUGUGAUUCUGUACAGUAGCUUCCUCCACUGCAAAUCCUACAGGGCUCUAUCAGAAAUCUAUCUGCCGUACUUGUUCAACAAAAAGAAAAGAACAAAGGAGAUAUGUCUUAGACUAGGAUUUCAGUACAAUUUACAGUACAUUUACUGCCUAUUGUUACCUGGCAACACUGAAUUUCUAAUAUUCUGUUAUCAUUCUUCUUUCCACUACAAAAUGCUCGCAUUUCUUAUUAUCAUGGUCCCUAGGCAUCAGGAUGUGCAGUAAGAGGAGGAGAAUUCAUAAAAUUUAUAUCACAGUGCAACUGUUACUGGUAUAUCAAAAGCCAGCUACAGUAUUCACCAUAGAAUGUAUGCGUAUUUUGAUAUUUAUAAGUAGUAAAUGCUCCACUUCAAAGCAAAGUUUUGCAGCCUCUAAGACAUUUGCAUCUCUAGAACAAUUGCAAUCCGUGCAUUUUCUGACAAUAUAUUACAUAUCAGCUUUCAAACCUUUGUUCUUAGAAUCCCAUAUCUGUAUGAAGUAAGUGGUGAAAUGAAGAAUUUUAUGUAAACCACAUUUCCCUUAAAAAAAAACAAAAAGAGCUGAAGUAAUAGCUACACUUUCCUUUUGAUCUACCAGUCUCUCAAUAUGCUCAUAAGAAAUCCAAAUAUACAUUUACCUAAAUUGCUGAAAAAACAUGUUGGUUUGCUCUGUCUUUUUUGUGCAAAACUUUGUUUGCACCUAUACACUCUCCAUGCUGGUUCCAAGCUGUCAGGAUAUGGAGCUAAUUACUGCUCAAAUUCUUACACACAAUGUCUGAACUUUGCUCACAUCCAUGCUGGAUGCAACUGUAACAUGCACAAGGCUGUGUAGAGGAUACACAGGCAUAAUGAUUUGCUGGCAGUUAACCAGAGACUUGGGGAGAGGCAAAAGGUGAAAAGCUGCCCUGGGAGAGAAGACCCUGGGGGUUAGAAGUAUGAGGCUUGCCAACAUGAGCCAAUAGGCAUGUAAGCCACUAAGAAGACUAAAGAUGUGUCACCAAAUUAUAAACAUGCUGAUUGGCUGAUAGGGUUAAAGCAGAACCAUAGCAAGGGAAAUUGCAAAACACUUGUGCAAUUCCUAAGGCUCAUCUUUUUUUGAGACACUCCCGAUCUGUUCCUCUGCAUUCUCCAAUAUGAGCAUAAUAUAUGGCUUCCACAGAGAGUGAGCAGUAGUUUUCAAAACCUUUUUUUGAAAUCUCAAUAAGGGGGAUAAGAGAUGCAGGUUUCUAGCCAAAGUACUGUAUAGGGGAAAAGCUAAGGAAAGGGUGUUUAAAACAUUGUUUGACAACAGCACCAGGUGUGGAAAACAAAAGAAAAAAGGAAGAUGAAACUAGA